CGUUGCAACUGCAAAGAGAGAAAAAAAAGACCUAGUAUUGGCUGGGGUGGCCGGAGGGGAGGCGAGCGGCGGUCGGCGACGGCGUCGGGUCGGUAUUCAGCAGAAUAAAAGCGCGGAAACAUAAAUUUUAAGAUUUCAUCAUUUGUUAUGUAUCAAUAAAACCUUAUUCACAUUCAUAGCAUUUUUCUAUGCGUUUGUUGUGAUUCAUGGGUUAGAAAAGUAGGGCAGGUGGGGCCCCACUCUGAAAACCGCCCCAGGCCUCAUAGACCCUUAAUCCGCCACUGGCAAUUAUGAAGCAUCCGCAAUCCGAUUUCAAUAAGUGGGUAUGUGGAUAUAUAGACAGGUGGCUCAGGGAUACAAGGUGCUGUGUCCAUGCGCGCAUAAUUUGCAGUUUAAUGAAAAGCGUGACAUUUUAUUGUAUAUGGAACCCUUCUUUGGCGAUCAUUUUAUAUGGCUGUUAAGUAAAAUUAUUUUGUAAUAAAAACCUUUUUAGACGAUAUCAAACUUCAAUGGAGGAUUGUCUUCAUCAUGGUUAAACGGCGUUCGGAUUUAUUAUUAUUAUUAAUAUCUAUACUUUACAUUUAUUGAUGAGGAGUAGAGGAUAAUAUACCUACAGUUGUGAUAAAUAAAUGCGAUAACAUUGUGAAAUAUUACCUACUCGGUGCCGCCACCAAACGCCAGGGCGUAGUUGGCGUAUAGGGAAAUCCGCCGCAGGUGUAAUCCUUUGAACCACCUGACACGAAUUCUUCUUCAAUCUCUCAGAACCUUCAGCUUCUAAUUCAGCCGUCUAAAAAUUUACCUGUUAGCGGAUUGGGUUGUCCUUCCGCUGAUAUAUAGAUUACAUAUAGAGUCCGUGUCAUAAUACUGGACACGAUCACCUAUUGAAGAUAAUACACUUAGACGCAUGAAAAUGCUGUGAUAAGCCAAGCUUCUAAAUUCCAAACCAGGAUAGAGAUGAAGGCCUGCCGUAUUCACUGUCAACAAGUGGGCUCUACGUUCGCGUGCUGGGUGAGAUGAGGUGCCUGAACACUUGUUUUACGGAAGAAAUGAUAAUACCCUAAUCACUACAUCUUAUAUUAUUUUAGGUAAGGGCUUAGUCAAAAUGGAGUGGAUAAGUAAAACAAAACAAAAUUUAAUGGGUUUAUUAGUUCUGGAAAAAAAUUCAUUGAAGUAUACAUUAUAAUUGAAACGAUAACCACUUAGAUAGAACACCCAGUAGGUGUUUUCGAGUUCCAGGUCUUUGAACCUCCUGUUCAUGUAUAUCCCAUUUUCUAAUUUUAAAAUAGCAACAUUUUCCUAAAUAAGAGCUAAUUAAAAUACGGUAUAAACAAUCGUAGCCCGUAGGUAGUUCUCGUUCUGCAAAUAUAUGGUUAAACGUGUGAUAGAUAUGUGGCGUAUUUACCCAU